rnacentral:rRNA from 1 species
UACGUAGGGGGCAAGCGUUUGUCCGGAAUCAUUGGGCGUAAAGAGCGUGUAGGCGGCUCGGUAAGUCCGCUCUGAAAGCCCGGGGCUCAACCCCGGGAGGCGGGCGGAUACUGUCGAGCUAGAGUCCGGAAGAGGCGAGUGGAAUUCCUGGUGUAGCGGUGAAAUGCGCAGAUAUCAGGAGGAACACCAAUGGCGAAGGCAGCUCGCUGGGACGUGACUGACGCUGAGACGCGAAAGCGUGGGGGAGCAAACAGG